rnacentral:antisense_RNA from 1 species
GGGGCCAUUCCCGCUCAACGAGUUUUAUGACCUAAAAAACCCCACAGGCUGGUCUGAAGGUCGGAGGCCUAAUUUUAACGCGUUUUCCUCCCUUUAAUUUGAAACGGGAACGCGAAUAACUAAAAUGUGGGCACAAUAUUUAACCUCUUGCUUUUUUAAAGCUUAAUAAUGGAUAGUAGGGGGCAGUAUCAAGGGAUAAUUUGGGUCCCCACAGUACCAAAGCAUUUAGAAACCUCUGCUUAAUUUAAGGAAUGAGAUAAAUUACUGCUUUUCUAGAUUUGGUAGCAUGGGCUGUUGUGCUGGAGAGAACGAGAGCUACGAAGAGACUAGAAUGCCUCUGACUUUUUCAUAGGACAGUUGGCCGGUGAAUCUUAUUAAUAGUUUACCACAAUUAAGUGUUCACUUUUAGUCUAGAAGGGACAGGCGUUUAUUGUGCAUUGGCCCGUGCCAGCACAUCCGAUGCAAGGCAUUUCACCGUAUUCUAUCUUUAAUUUUUACCAUGGUCCUCUGAGGUAGGUGUUCUUAUCUCUCUCUCUCUUUUAAACAGAGGAAGACACUUAAAGAUGAAGUGCUUAAUUCAAGGUCACAGAAUGUCGGGGAUGGACCUCCAGAUUUCCUUACUGACCUGCAUUAUCUUGUGGAUACCUGAGUGAAUUCCACACCACCCAUUUUAUAGAUGAAGCCACUGAGACGUGGAGCAACUGACUGAGUAGUCACUGCCCCACCCCUGC